rnacentral:lncRNA from 1 species
CCUCCAAUCUUUUUGAUUAUUAUAAAAUUCUUCAAACCUAGUUCACCUCGAACUCCAUUCAAGUGAUCUCCAUCUUUAUUAUUCUUUAUCUUUAGGUCGAUACCCAUCCAAAGACUUCUCUUUAGGGCACUAUUCACUUGAACAAGCACCCUUAUAACAAAAGGUGGUGGUAUUUUAGUCCUUGUGAGGGGUGCAAGUUCAUCGAGGGUCUUCCUUCUUCUAUUCAUGAUUGAAAGGAUAGAUUUUUCUUUGUUUCUUGUUAUCUUCUCUAG